GCGCCUGUAGCUCAGCUGGAUAGAGCAACGGACUUCUAAUCCGUAGGUAGCACGUUCAAGUCGUGUCAGGCGCG
rnacentral:tRNA from 1 species